rnacentral:rRNA from 1 species
UGGGGAGUAUUGGACAAUGGGCGAAAGCCUGAUCCAGCCAUGCCGCGUGUGUGAAGAAGGUCUUCGGAUUGUAAAGCACUUUAAGUUGGGAGGAAGGGCAUUAACCUAAUACGUUAGUGUUUUGACGUUACCGACAGAAUAAGCACCGGCUAACUCUGUGCCAGCAGCCGCGGUAAUACAGAGGGUGCAAGCGUUAAUCGGAAUUACUGGGCGUAAAGCGCGCGUAGGUGGUUUGUUAAGUUGGAUGUGAAAUCCCCGGGCUCAACCUGGGAACUGCAUUCAAAACUGACUGACUAGAGUAUGGUAGAGGGUGGUGGAAUUUCCUGUGUAGCGGUGAAAUGCGUAGAUAUAGGAAGGAACACCAGUGGCGAAGGCGACCACCUGGACUAAUACUGACACUGAGGUGCGAAAGCGUGGGGAGCAAACA